ACUUGCAUGGACACGGGGUGGUGCGGGUCUGCAGGGGGUUUGUUUGGUAACCCUUGCUUGUGGUCAUGCUUGUGGAGUGACCACUCUGAGCUUUACUUGUGCCGUACAACGUCGCAUAUCCAACCCCUUGUGGACUCGGGUAUAGGCGGAUAUGUGAAAAGGUCGGAUUUACGAACAUCUAUAGAAAAAGCAUUUACACAUCCAUAAAUAGGUUAGUGAACAAAAACAACACGCAAACUGCUUUAAACAUGGGGACAUUUUUUGCUUUAAAACUAAGCAAACGUAAACGAGAUUAAUUAGACUACAAAUACACAGUGUUGCUAUGUGGUUUGCUAUAAGCCAUCUCCAUGCAAAGUUUUAAAAAAAAAAAUGCAAAACAAACGGUAAAUGUACAGUAACCUGCAACUGAUGGCUUCUUUCUCAGCUCUAGAAGUCCCUGCCUCCCUGGUUCUGCUUUCUUAAUAUCUCUGUCACGGUACUUUGCGCUCUUUCUUGAUAUUGCCAACAGCUGAUAACAGCUCGGUUUGAAUAUUGUUUCGGCUAUUUUAAACAAACGACCGAUAAGCAUUGCGUUUAUGAAGCUUGCUUUGUUUAAUCAAUUGCAUUUAAAAGCUACAACAACACACUGCCAAUAUCUGCAAGCGUGCGCUCCAUCAUAUAAACACAUUGCACAAAAAAAAGUUUUCUCGACUGGUGUAUUGAAACGUCACUGCUACACGCAGCUGACUGACACACGCACACAGCCCGCCUCUCUUAAAGGGGAACGCACAAAAAGAAUGAUUGCUAGAACGCUUUCUUUCUGUUUCCAUUGCGGAAGCUGCAUUUGCUGCCAAUGCCAUUACUCUCGUAGCCUACUUUUAAUAUUUAUUCAUUUAUUUAGCGAGGCGGUUAAUUGAUCAGGACGGUUAUGUGAUGGUCGGAUAUGCGACACUCCACUGUAUUGUUGUAUACCCUUUGGAUCAUAGAAGGCAAUAAACUGCCCUUGUAACACACUGUGAGUGGAUCUGAUUCUGUCUACCUCAAUCCUGUCACUGUGUCUGUGGUUAUGAAAUGGUCAGAUAGGGGGCAGUGUUGGACCAGUAAGGGACCAAUAUCGGGCCUAUUCAGAUUACCAUAAUGAAGGCAUUGUGGCACCAAUUUAAACCCAGUAAUGGUGUUUCUUAACACUAGAACUGCCACGCGCAUCAAUUUUGAUGCAUUUUGGAUGUAAAAUUUAACGUCUCAGCAUUUGCAAAUGCAAUGCGGCUGUCCUUUUUUUCUUUUUUAGUUUAAAAAAAACAGCAAACGCAUCACAUUCACAAGGGCAGAGUUGUUUAAAUUUUGAAUCCCACUUACAUCCCUCAGCAGUUCUAGUGUUAAUGGACCAGUACUGUGCCAGUUCCUAACCAAACUGGACCAUGUACUGGGUCCACGUGCAAACUAUACCUACCCAAUUCUGGCACAUAAUUGGAUCAAUACAGUCAAAUUGGCCUGCCAGCAUUGCACCAAUACUGGCAAAAGGUUUGCAAACAAUUGGUCCAGUAUUGGGUCAAUUCCGACAUGUUUCCUAGGACCCUGUUUGGAUCAUGGCUAGUCUUUUACAUCUCAUGAAUGCAGAAAAGCUUUGAUCAGCUGAAUAUAGCAUUAGAAUGUACAGGCUCUUGAGACCAGAAUGGAAACGAGACGUAAAGAAGACACUCAAGUUAGUUCAGUCUCAGGAACUUAAAAAGAACACAACUCACAUGCAGUAUAUUGGUGUCUGGAAAAUGUCAUUUUAAAAAGAGAUUGCAGUGUGUUAAUGAAGGUACCCGUGAUAAUAGAUACAAGUAGAUUAAUAGUGAUAUACAGGUAUCAGCUUUGAAGACCUUAUCUUAUCCUCUGUGCUGAAAGGGUCAGUGAAGAGCUGGUGGGUUGCUGAGCUUCAUGGAAUUCUGUCAUGGGAAUAUGGUGAUGGGUGUGAUGUAUUGUUGGUGUGUAUAGUGUGUAAAUGUGAGUGUAUGUAAUGUGCGUCUUGUUUUGUUAUUGUCAAGGGUAAACGGAACAACCCGUUCACACAACAGAACUAGGACCACAUGUCAGGACAAAGAUUUCAAAGAUUUCACAGAAGAAAAAGCAUCAAAAUGCUUUGCCUGCACUGAAACCACUUCCUUUAUAAUGGACUCAUGCCAAUGAUAGUGUGUGGAAGCAGUUCAACGCGACUUUCUUUCAUCUUUUACCAGGUGUCAAUAUCUCAGCUGGAGACUGUGCCACUGAAUCUCCAAGACUUCUCUCUGAAAUACAGUUCAAUAAAUCCAUGUUAAAGAUAUAGAAUAUGUGUGUGUUCCUAUGUGAAUAAUGCAAGUAUUUGAAUUGAACCCAAGCCCUGCAUACACACCUAUCAGAAUCAUCAGAAGAGCUGUAGUGAGAACACAGCGCUACUGAUUUCCUCGCCCCAUGCUCGGUGCCUGUGUGAGUGCAGAAUGAGGAGAGCUCAAGAACUGCACUGUUGGAAGAUGAGACAGAAGCUGCACACGUGACCGAUGAUGCAGGUGAGAACUAUUCCACACUGGAGUGUUCACUGGAGACAUGAUGAUAUGAAACGACAUGAGUGAUGUGUACUUGAAGCAGCUGCAGUGUGAAGCAGGAAUACUUUACAAUUCAUGUGGAAACAUUGUGGAUUCAACCUUAAUAUCUAAAGAAUAUGUUGCAUCAAUGUACUGUACCCCUGACACUAUCUAGCUACAGUAUCUCAUUAUACAUUCUGAAUGUCAUCUUCAAGUAACUUCAUUGAUAUGAUAUGAUAUGUAACUUCAGUACACAAUGCUUUUGAAACAUAAAAAAUGCUUUCCUUAUAUUUGUAGCAUCAUUUAGAAGUGUAGUAAAAAGACUGCAUUUUAUUAAAACAAAUAUGUUAUAUUUGUCUGUGCAUCCAAACAAACUCACUAAAACUGUGACUGAUUAGACAAUGCUGCCAUCUGCUGGUCUGCUUUAAACAUUUCUUUAUUGAUUUGGAUGUAUAAACACAAUUAGUGUUUAUUGAUAGCUGAUAAUGGACUGACACUCAAUGAAAGCAUUAAUUAUUUAUUUUUGACUGCUCUGUGAAUGUUUUCCACAACUGCAUUUCAAAGGGUCACAUUCGCCUGUAUAUAUUAUUUCAAAUGAAGUAUCACAAGGAAACAAUAGUGUAGUUUCACUGUUGUGCCUGUAGGUGUCAUAAUACAAGUCAGUGAUGCACCUAUUCAUUAUUCUCACUCGAGAUUUCCCCUGAGAUAACAUUGACAGACAGCAGCUGCUCAGGUUGCUAGGAUACGGUCUGCAUCAUGUGCAGCAGUGUCACCUGGGAUAAAUGAACUCAAUGGCCUGUCUGUUUUACACCUGUAUUAAUUUUGUAUUUUUAGACACCAUUACAACUUUUUUUUUUUAAAAAAAAAUAUAUAUUUUUUUUUUUAAAUCAUAAAAUGUCUACUGAAAAUGCAUUUGUAGAAAUUAAAUACCAAGACCAGAGAUGUGAUUUCAACACUGCUCUGGUUGUGAGCUGAGUUCAGAUCCACAGUGCUGUGAGCUGAGUUCAGAACCACAGUGCUGUGGGCUGAGAUCAGAACCACAGUGCUGUGGGCUGAGUUCAGAACCACAGUGCUGUGGGCUGAGAUCAGAACCACAGUGCUGUGAGCUGAGAUCAGAACCACAGUGCUGUGAGCUGAGUUCAGAACCACAGUGCUGUGAGCUGAGUUCAGAACCACAGUGCUGUGAGCUGAGAUCAGAACCACAGUGCUGUGGGCUGAGUUCAGAACCACAGUGCUGUGGGCUGAGAUCAGAACCACAGUGCUGUGGGCUGAGUUCAGAACCACAGUGCAGUGAAGGUUAUAAUUAACACUUCAUGAAAAGGUGUUUUUUUUUACAUACUUGACAUUCUGCAUUAUGCUCAAGCUUCUUUCAUUCCCUUCUCCAGAUAUUAGGGUUCAACACAAUUUUGGUUUUUGUGUAAUAAACAUGGUUAUAUAACGUUAUGAUACAAUAUAUAUUUAUUUGAAUUUAUUAUAAGAGUUUGCAUUAAUUUAAAAUAUUUUCCAUUAAAGAGUAAAAGCUAUCUAAUGAACACAUGUUGAUUUGAAAUUGCAGUGGAUCAAUAUGACCUGAAACAUACCAGCUGUACCUACAUUCUGAACAUACUAGGAGGGUUCAAUAGAUUCACAUUGAGUGCUUUCAGCAGGGAGCUGCGCUGGUCGCUGUUCAUGGGACUGAACUGGUCUGACAUGGAACUGCAUUGGGCUAAAGGGCUUGAGGGAUGUAUCUCUGAAUGUAUUUCACAUUCUGUGCUAUUAAUGUAUUGUCAUCUCCUUAUUGCCUGGUAUUUUCCUUGUUGUUUAAUAAAGGAAGCAUUGUGUGAUUGUGAAUAUUGAGCUUUAAACACUGACAAUUCAUUGUCGUACACUGCCACCUAUUGGGGGUUCAUUUGAAUUGCAAUGUAACAAAGAAUAUAUAAUAGUUAACGAAGCCUAGAAAUUAGCAGUCGUAUGAAAUAAGAUACAAAAAACAAUCCAUCAAUCUUGACACAGUAUCUGAAAACACUGAGGUGGCAAGGCAGCUGUUUUCCUAAAAAUAAUGUCAAAGUUGUUAAUGGUGAGUUGCACGUGUUGUGCAGAUAUUUCGUUUAAAAAAUGAAUGUAUUUUAACGCUUUAUGUACAGGCUUAUUAAAAGUUGUUUGUUUUUUAACGCAUUAAAUACAUGUAAACAUCGA